GCCCUUUCGGGGGUACACGAGCGGCGAACGGGUGAGUAGCACGUGGGUGACCUGCCCUCAGCUCUGGGAUAAGCCUGGGAAACCGGGUCUAAUACCGGAUAUGACUCCAUGACGCAUGUUGUGGGGUGGAAAGCCUUGUGCGGCUGAGGAUGGGCCCGCGGCCUAUCAGCUUGUUGGUGGGGUGAUGGCCUACCAAGGCGACGACGGGUAGCCGGCCUGAGAGGGCGACCGGCCACACUGGGACUGAGACACGGCCCAGACUCCUACGGGAGGCAGCAGUGGGGAAUCUUGCGCAAUGGGCGAAAGCCUGACGCAGCGACGCCGCGUGAGGGAGGAAGGCCUUCGGGUUGUAAACCUCUUUUAAGAGAGAAGAAGCUACUCGGGUUAAUAGCCCAGAGGGUGACGGUAUCUCUUGAAUAAGCCCCGGCUAACUACGUGCCAGCAGCCGCGGUAAUACGUAGGGGGCAAGCGUUGUCCGGAUUUACUGGGCGUAAAGAGCGUGUAGGCGGCCACGCAGGUCCGUUGUGAAAACUGGAGGCUCAACCUCCAGACGUCGACGGAAACCGUGUGGCUAGAGUCCGGAAGAGGAGAGUGGAAUUCCUGGUGUAGCGGUGAAAUGCGCAGAUAUCAGGAAGAACACCAAUGGCGAAGGCAGCUCUCUGGGACGGUACUGACGCUGAGACGCGAAAGCGUGGGGAGCGAACAGGAUUAGAUACCCUGGUAGUCCACGCCGUAAACGAUGGGUGCUAGGUGUGGGAGGUGUCGACUCCUUCCGUGCCGUAGCUAACGCAUUAAGCACCCCGCCUGGGGAGUACGGCCGCAAGGCUAAAACUCAAAGGAAUUGACGGGGCCCCGCACAAGCAGCGGAGCAUGUUGUUUAAUUCGAUGCAACGCGAAGAACCUUACCAGGGCUUGACAUGCACUGGAAA
rnacentral:rRNA from 1 species